ACAGCAGAACUUGAAGAGACAAUAAUAAAAAAGAGGAAAAAAAAGGGGGUAUGAACGGGGGAGCCAACAGAAAACUGUGAGAAGAUAGGCAAUGGGAGCAGAAGAAGAGGAUAAACAGUGGGCGCUGAAAACUGUUUUAGUUGAUUAGGUUAUUUUAUUCACCAAUCAUUGAAGUCCCUAUUCUUUGCUGGCUUCGCAAACCACCAUUGAUCUGAUCGUCAAACUAAUCCAUAUCAACAAUAAAAUCAACAAUGCUUCGAAUACAUACACUUCGACUCCCUCUCUCCAAUCUCUCAUUAUUCUCUUCACAAGCCCAAAAACCCAGGCUCAACAACAACUAUCGCACAAUGAUGAGUUACACAAAGGCAGCGUCGUCUCAGGCCUUCAAGGACAAGAAGCUCUUGUUUCGCCAGCUUUUCGAGAAGGAUUCCUCUACUUACACCUAUUUGUUGGCUGAUGUUGCUCAUCCUGAUAAACCUGCUCUGUUAAUUGACCCAGUUGAUAAGACAGUAGACAGGGACCUUUCCCUUGUAAAAGAGCUGGGGUUGAAGUUAAUUUAUGCUAUAAACACCCAUGUUCAUGCUGAUCAUGUGACUGGAACUGGCUUGAUUAAGACCAAGGUUCCUUCUGUGAAAUCUAUUAUCUCGAAAGCAAGCAAAUCGAAAGCUGAUCUUCACAUUGAAGCUGGCGAUAAAAUUCAUUUUGGGGAUCUUUUUCUAGAGGUUCGAGCUACUCCGGGUCAUACACUGGGUUGUGUUACAUAUGUUACUGGAGAUGGGUCAGAUCAGCCUCAGCCAAGGAUGGCUUUCACCGGAGAUGCAUUGCUAAUACGUGGAUGUGGAAGAACUGAUUUUCAGGGUGGAAGUGCGCAUCAACUCUACCAGUCAGUACAUUCACAGAUAUUUUCAUUGCCCAAGGAAACCUUGAUAUAUCCUGCUCAUGAUUACCGGGGAUUCACUGUCAGCACUGUUGGGGAGGAAAUGCAAUAUAAUCCCAGACUAACCAAAGAUGAGGAAAUGUUCAAGAGUAUCAUGGAAAAUCUGAAUCUUCCAUAUCCAAAGAUGAUUGACAUAGCUGUUCCUUCAAAUAUGGUCUGUGGGCUGCAAGAUCUGUCUGUGAAGCCUGUUGAUGCCUCGUCAAACUAGAUAUUAUCAGGUGCAUCUGAAUCUUCCAUAUCCAAAGAUGAUUGACAUAGCUGUUCCUUCAAAUAUGGUCUGUGGGCUGCAAGAUCUGUCUGUGAAGCCUGUUGAUGCCUCGUCGAACUAGAUAUAAGCAGACUGAAAAUGAAAAAUUACUGUACAAUCACUCGUGUAUAACUUCCUACCUAAAGAUGACUCCACCUCAUUGCGCUGGGUGUCUUCGAUCACCGGCAAUGAAGAGAGAUUGGUGUUCGUGGCAAGUGCUCACAUCAAACCAUGAAACAGGCGUCAACACAGGUCAUCUUCUGUCAAGUCACAUCCAACACCAAUCAAGCAAUCCUGGACUCCCCGUCAUAAUACAUUCCACGGGCAAUAAACAACCCGAGUUUCAUAAAUGCAAAUGUUGAAAUCGUCAAAACAAGCCGGUGCAAGUUCUGACUUGUUGAUGCGGGCUGUUAAUGCACUGUUGUGCUGGUCGUGGUUGUGGGUGGCUGAAGUGGUGUUGGAUCUUUGAUGUGGGGGUUGAUGGGUGUGGCCUUUCUUUCUUUUCUCAGGUCACUUUCUUGUUGAUCUUGAUGCACUGCCUUUUCUUCUUCUUUUCAGUUUGUGUCAAUGAAGGGUUAGAUUGUGAAUGCGGUGCAAACCAUAAAUUUUAAAUUAUUAUUAUUAUUUUUA